GCUCACGUGGUGAAAUUGGUAGACACGCCAGCUUGAGGGGCUGGUGUCCGCUUAGGACGUGCUGGUUCGAAUCCAGUCGUGAGCA
rnacentral:tRNA from 1 species